UGAUGAUGGUGAGGGUAAUUUUUUAGCAUACUUUUAAAUCCCUCUCAAGAUUGGUAGAGAUUCUCUCCUUCUUUCUAUCUAAAACUCAAAAUCUCAUUUCUCAAAUG
rfam:Capsicum annuum cultivar Zunla-1 chromosome 5, whole genome shotgun sequence